CCUACGGGAGGCAGCAGUGAGGAAUAUUGGACAAUGGGCGCAAGCCUGAUCCAGCCAUGCCGCGUGCAGGAUGGCGGUCCUAUGGAUUGUAAACUGCUUUUAUACAGGAAGAAACCACUCUACGUGUAGAGUCUUGACGGUACUGUAAGAAUAAGGAUCGGCUAACUCCGUGCCAGCAGCCGCGGUAAUACGGAGGAUCCAAGCGUUAUCCGGAAUCAUUGGGUUUAAAGGGUCCGUAGGCGGUUUAGUAAGUCAGUGGUGAAAGCCCAUCGCUCAACGGUGGAACGGCCAUUGAUACUGCUAGACUUGAAUUAUUAGGAAGUAACUAGAAUAUGUAGUGUAGCGGUGAAAUGCUUAGAGAUUACAUGGAAUACCAAUUGCGAAGGCAGGUUACUACUAAUUGAUUGACGCUGAUGGACGAAAGCGUGGGUAGCGAACAGGAUUAGAUACCCUGGUAGUCCACGCCGUAAACGAUGGAUACUAGCUGUUGGGGGUCAACUUCAGUGGCUAAGCGAAAGUGAUAAGUAUCCCACCUGGGGAGUACGAACGCAAGUUUGAAACUCAAAGGAAUUGACGGCUGAGAGNGCGAGACGACGACGAGGGAGGAGG
rnacentral:rRNA from 1 species